rnacentral:rRNA from 1 species
UUUGAAGGUGGAAAGUGUAACAAGGUUUCCGUAGGUGAACCUGCGGAAGGAUCAUUA